CAGUCGCCGCGGUAAUACAGAGGGUGCGAGCGUUAAUCGGAUUUACUGGGCGUAAAGCGUGCGUAUGCGGCUUCUUAAGUCGGAUGUGAAAUCCCUGAGCUUAACUUAGGAAUUGCAUUCGAUACUGGGAAGCUAGAGUAUGGGAGAGGAUGGUAGAAUUCCAGGUGUAGCGGUGAAAUGCGUAGAGAUCUGGAGGAAUACCGAUGGCGAAGGCAGCCAUCUGGCCUAAUACUGACGCUGAGGUACGAAAGCAUGGGGAGCAAACAGGAUUAGAUACCCCUGUAGUCCCUGUCUUUUAUAC
rnacentral:rRNA from 1 species